CUGGCGACGAGUGGCGGACGGGUGAGUAAUACUUAGGAAUCUGCCCAGUAGUGGGGGACAACUCGGGGAAACUCGAGCUAAUACCGCAUACGCCCUAAGGGGGAAAGCGGGGGAUCUUCGGACCUCGCGCUAUUGGAUGAGCCUAAGUCGGAUUAGCUUGUAGGUAGGGUAACGGCCUACCUAGGCGACGAUCCGUAGCUGGUCUGAAAGGACGAUCAGCCACACUGGGACUGAGACACGGCCCAG
rnacentral:rRNA from 1 species